AUGGCGGCCGUGACGUUGGACGAGUCCGGGGGCGGCCUCCAGACGCCCGGAGGAACGCUCAGCCUCGUCUGCAAGGCCUCCGGGUUCACCUUCAGCAGCUAUCAGAUGAACUGGAUCCGACAGGCGCCCGGCAAAGGGCUGGAGUUCGUCGCUGCUAUUAACAGAUUUGGGAAUAGCACGGGUCAUGGGGCGGCAGUGAAGGGCCGUGUCACCAUCUCGAGGGACGAUGGACAGAGCACAGUGAGGCUGCAGCUGAGCAACCUCAGGGCUGAGGACACCGGCACCUACUACUGCACCAAGGGUGCUUACGGUUAUUGUGGUAGUGGUAGUUGGUGUGCUGCUGGUCCUGGUCACACGGACGGCACGGGGACACGAAUUCAUCUGCAUCUGGGAAGGUACCCCCCAGGAUGCAGAGCUCUGUGA